AGACAAAAGACUACGUAGCCCUUGAAACGAAGCGAAAACGUAGCUUGAAACGAAGCUAUCCAAGGACCACACUUCAAAGGGAGGGCUUCGAGGAAAAUCCGGCCGAAAAUGCAUUUUUACUAGUUGUUAUCAUUCGGACUCAUGAUGUAAAGUUGACUGUAUAUUCAGCUCGAAGUCAUACACGGACAAUGCGAUCUCUGAGCUCGAUAAAACAUGACAUAACGGUAAAUAGCCGUUGAACUAUACAUACAAGAUUUUGGCGCGCUCUAGUGGCCAAGCGAAAUCACCAUCAUCAUCAACAGCAUCAUUAUCAACAGCAGCGAUGGCUCAAACAAAGGAAAUGCACAAAUGGACACCACAGGAGACCAGACGCCUCAUUAAUUUCAGGUCGACCAGGGACAAUGAGUUUCUCAGGUCAAAAAUGAUCGCCCGAAAACAGUGGGAGCUUUUUCUGGAAGAAAUGGGGAUGGAGGGAAAAGUUACAAGGCAACAGGCUUCUAAGAAGUGGGAAAACCUCAAAAAGAAGUACAAGGAUUUGAGGACUCCCAAAACUGGGUCGGGGACGGAAAGUGGGGAGGUGACUGUGGCGACGUGGCAGUAUUACGAUUUGAUGCAUGAGGUUCUUGGUGCCCGGCCAGCA